rnacentral:rRNA from 1 species
AUAGCGUAUAUUAAAGUUGUUGCAGUUAAAAAGCUCGUAGUUGGAUUUCUGGGAGAGUGCCAAUGUCCGCCGCGUGCGUGUUGCAGCGGCGCUCUUCCAUCCUUCUGUUAACCUUUCUGGUAUUCACUUACCGGUUUGGGGCUCAGAUAUUUUACCUUGAGAAAAUUAGAGUGUUUCAGGCAGGCUUGCGCCCGAAUACAUUAGCAUGGAAUAAUAGAAUAGGACUUUGGUCUCCUUUGUUGGUUUGAGGGACUAGAGUAAUGAUUAAUAGGGACAGUUGGGGGCAUUAGUAUUUAAUUGUCAGAGGUGAAAUUCUCGGAUUUGUUAAAGACUAACUUAUG